rnacentral:tRNA from 2 species
GAAGAGUAUUUUAGAGUAAGAAUUUUGGCUUCGGGAGCCGAGGGCAGGAGUUAAAAUCUCCUCUCUUCGA